UAAAAUAAAUCCACAUAUUUAACCUGGCAUUUAAAAAUAAAAUUAAAGCACCAACAAUAUUUUUAUGGAAACUGUUUUCCCAAGUUUUCCCAGCAGCUUAAACUAACUAAAUAUAACUGGAGUCCACUUCCUUCCCCAGUCCAGCCUUUCCAGUCCCAUCCAUGCAGUUAAGCCGUCACUUUCAUUCAAGGUUGUGAAUUAUAUAGUACAUUGUCUACUCCCCAAAACCAUAAAACCAACUUUAUGGACCUCACGUGACUUUUCACAGUCUGUAAGUAAUAUAGGCCUAUACAAUCUUUGGUAAGGGGGGAUUUUUACCAACUUCAGCCUUGCCUAUAUACCUGUAAGCCAAAGCCACUCAUUUUUGGGGGAUUUUAGCACCAACAAAUUUGGCAAACGCGCACCUCGCUGCAGGAGAGAGUCAGAGGAGGUGUCCUGAUUUCUGAUUCAACACCAACUGUGACUGAAGUCCAUGAAGACGCGCAGAGGGCACGAGGGAGGACACGCGCUUCCACACAGAUCACCACCUUCAUCAUCAUCUUCCUCAUCCACCGUGAAGUGGAAACUUAUUCCUCAUUUUUUUCUGUUACACUGUGUCUCCUCAGGUCCCGUGUGUGUGUCUACUGUGGUUUUAAUCCUGCGUGGUGGUCCCGCUCCUCACUGGCCUUUACCGUGCUGCUGGGGGGCUCUGCGGGAGGAGUUGCGGACGAUGUGAGAGAAGCCAGGCCUCCUGAC